AACGUAAGAUGACUGUAGUGAAAGCUUACAUCUCUUCGGAGCAUUUUACGAGGUGCUGCAUGGUUGUCGUCAGCUCGUGCCGUGAGGUGUCGGGUUAAGUCCCAUAACGAGCGCAACCCCUACCUUAGUUGCCAUCAGGUUAAGCUGGGGACUCUAAAGGAACUGCCUACGCAAGUAGUGAGGAAGCGGGGAUGACGUCAAAUCAGCACGGCCCUUACGUCCAGGGCUACACACGUGCUACAAUGGCCGAUACAGAGGGCAGCUACCUAGUGACAGGAUGCAAAUCUCCAAAGUCGGUCUCAGUUCGGAUCGGAGUCUGCAACCCGACUCCGUGAAGUUGGAUUCGCUAGUAAUCGCGCAUCAGCCAUGGCGCGGUGAAUACGUUCCCGGGCCUU
rnacentral:rRNA from 1 species